rfam:Triticum aestivum genome assembly, contig: Triticum_aestivum_CS42_TGACv1_scaffold_473090_6AL
CUAUUACUCCCUCUGUCCAAAAUUACUUGUCAUCAAAAUGGAUAAAAAGUAAUGCAUCUAGAACUAAAAUAUGUCUAGAUACAUCUCCUUUUAUCCAUUGUGAUGACAAGUAUUUUCGGACGAAGGGAGUUGAAA